rnacentral:rRNA from 1 species
UACGUAGGGCGCAAGCGUUGUCCGGAAUUAUUGGGCGUAAAGAGCUCGUAGGUGGUUUGUCGCGUCUGUACGUGAAGCCCGGGGCUUAACUCCGGGUCUGCGGUGGAUACGGGCAGACUAGAGGCAGGUAGGGGAGAACGGAAUUCCCGGUGUAGCGGUGAAAUGCGCAGAUAGUCGGGAGGAACACCGGUGGCGAAGGCGGUUCUCUGGGCCAUUACUGACGCUGAGGAGCGAAAGCGUGGGGAGCGAACAGG